rnacentral:lncRNA from 1 species
UUGGGGUUCAUGUCCGCGUCCAGCAGGAUGUUGCUGGCCUUGAGGUCGCGGUGGAUGAUGGUCAGCCUCGAGUCCUCGUGGAGGUAGAGGAGCCCUCGCCCGAUGCCCUCGAUGAUCCUCUGCCUCAGUCCCCAGCCCAGCUCAUGCCGCCGUGCUGGAUAUGCCAGCUCAGUUUUAUCAGUGGAUGUGAUCUGACUCUCAAGUGUACUACUGCUAGUCUGAAUGAAGCAAGCAGUCACCGAAGAUGAUUUUGUCGAGGCUAUUGUUGGUGAGGAACUCGUAGACGAGGAGCCUCUCGUGCUCCUCGGUGCAGCAGCCGAGCAGGCGCACCAAGUUCCUGUGCUGGA